UACGUAGGGUGCGAGCGUUAAUCGGAAUUACUGGGCGUAAAGCGUGCGCAGGCGGUGCGCCAAGCUCGAUGUGAAAGCCCCGGGCUCAACCUGGGAAUUGCAUUGAGGACUGGCGUGCUCGAGUGCGGCAGAGGGGGGUGGAAUUCCACGUGUAGCAGUGAAAUGCGUAGAGAUGUGGAGGAACACCGAUGGCGAAGGCAGCCCCCUGGGCCGACACUGACGCUCAUGCACGAAAGCGUGGGGAGCAAACAGG
rnacentral:rRNA from 1 species